CGACGGCCGGCAGUGCUUUAGUCCUCAGUAGCCCGACUUGAAGAGCCCUGCAGAGGGCGGUAAGAGACCGUUGUGAGUGCCGGGACUGGCGUGACUGGGCCGGUUUUGAGGGCGUGACAGGGCGGAAGCUACCCACAGGAUGAAGAUUUAUCUUUGCGAAUGGAGUCACUAACAAUCAGUUUAUCUAGCAAUGUGAUCCUCUGUGAACAUUUGCAAAAGACAAAGACGGAAAAGAAGAAGAGUUCUUAAAUGUUUAAUGCACAUAAAACAACUAAAUUUUUCUCUAUUAUGUAAGGAAGUAUGUGUUCUGUAUUGCCCUUGAGAAUAUCACAAUUGUGAAUUGUGAUCUGUAUGUAUUUUUAGUACAUAUUUAAAUAAGCCAUUGUGAAUCAAAUAUCCUAAGAUCAUUAAAUUACUUGCCUGCAUUA